rnacentral:rRNA from 1 species
AACGAACACUGGCGGCGCGUCUUAAGCAUGCAAGUCGAACGGUAAGGGAGAGCUUGCUCUCCCCUAGAGUGGCGGACUGGUGAGUAACGCGUGGGUGACCUGCCCUGAAGAUGGGGAUAGCUAGUAGAAAUAUUAGAUAAUACCGAAUGUGCUCAUUUACAUAAAGGUAAAUGAGGAAAGGAGCUACGGCUCCGCUUCAGGAUGGGCCCGCGUCCCAUUAGCUGGUUGGUGAGGUAAAGGCUCACCAAGGCAACGAUGGGUAUCCGGCCUGAGAGGGUGAACGGACACAUUGGGACUGAGAUACGGCCCAAACUCCUACGGGAGGCAGCAGCUAAGAAUCUUCCGCAAUGGACGAAAGUCUGACGGAGCGACGCCGUGUGGAUGAAGAAGGCCGAAAGGUUGUAAAAUUCUUUUGCAGAUGAAGAAUAAGAAGAAGAGGGAAUGCUUCUGUGAUGACGGUAAUCAUGCGAAUAAGCCCCGGCUAAUUACGUGCCAGCAGCCGCGGUAACACGUAAGGGGCGAGCGUUGUUCGGAAUUAUUGGGCGUAAAGGGUAUGUAGGCGGUUAGGUAAGCCUGGUGUGAAAUCUACGAGCUCAACUCGUAAACUGCAUUGGGUACUGCUUGACUUGAAUCACGGAGGGGAAACCGGAAUUCCAAGUGUAGGGGUGGAAUCUGUAGAUAUGUGGAAGAACACCGGUGGCGAAGGCGGGUUUCUGGCCGAUGAUUGACGCUGAUAUACGAAGGUGCGGGGGAGCAAACAGGAUUAGAUACCCUGGUAGUCCGCACAGUAAACGAUGUACACUAGCGUGUCGGGGCAAGAGCUUCGGUGCCGACGCAAACGCAUCAAGUGUACCGCCUGGGAAGUAUGCCCGCAACGGUGAAACUCAAAGGAAUUGACGGGGGCUCACACAAGCGGUGGAGCAUGUGGUGUAAUGCGAUGAUACGCGAGAAACCCUUACCUGGGGUUUGACAUCAAGGAGCGAUUGACAUAGCAGAUAUGGGCAGCGUUAGCAUUUACGGGCCUCGUUGAAGCAGGGUGCCUGCCAUUGGGCC